UAUGGGGCACAACUAAUGAACCGUCCAGAUCUUUCACAAAAGUGGAUGGACGGCUAGGCUCAGUCCACGUGUGUCUGUGCUCGUAGCCAUGGCUAGGCAUGGGCUGAGCUUAUCAGUUGUGGGUCAAGCUCUCGUCAGAAAAUGUGAUCCAUUUAAGCAAAUGGGCUGACCCUGUGCAACCCAUAGCCAUUUGAUCGGAUCGUUCAUCUUCAUCCGCGCCCUGUUUGUGCCCUAUAUAAAAAAACCGAACCUCACUUCAUCCUCUCUGCUUCCAUCCACACCCUCUCUCUCUCUCUCUCUCUCUCUCUCUCUCUCUCUCUCUCUCUCUCUCUCUCUCUCUCUCUCGCUGCUCCGAUCCACGCCCUCGAUCCAUUCUCUCUCUCUCUCUCUCUCUCUCUCUCUCUCUCUCUCUCUCUCUCUCUCUCUCUCUCGAUUGGAAGAAGGAGAGCUGCUAGAAGACCUCCUUAUCAUUCAGAUCCAGAUCCAGAUCCAGAUCGAAAUCCAUUCUCUCUCUCUCUCUCUCUCUCUCUCUCUCUCUCUCUCUCUCUCUCUCUCUCUCUCUCGAUUGGAAGAAGGAGAGCUGCUAGAAGACCUCAUCAUUCAGAUCCAGAUCCAAAUCCAUUCUCUCUCUCUCUCUCUCUCUCUCUCUCUCUCUCUCUCUCUCGAUUGGAAGAAGGAGAGCUGCUAGAAGACCUUAUCAUUCAGAUCCAGAUCCAAAUCCACUCUCUCUCUCUCUCUCUCUCUCUCUCUCUCUCUCUCUCUCUCUCUCUCUCUCUCUCUAUUGGAAGAAGGAAAGCUGCUAGAAGACCUCCUUAUCAUUCAGAUCCAGAUCCAAAUCAGUUCAAGCCUACAAGGCCAGGGGAUCGGAUCUGAGGGUUCACUUCAAGGUACAUUGACCUUCAUCCUUUUACCUGUUUCUGCUUCUAAGCAUUUCAUGUGAAUUUUAGUUAUAUUUCAAAAAAAAAAUGAAUUUUAGUAAUCUCAUAUAUUUUGGAAUUGUGAUUGUUACUAAAGUUGGUUUUGAUUUCUCUAAGAAGUCAAUCACUAUCUAUCUGGAUACAAUAUUUAGCUGCAGUGUAAGAAUACAUUAAUUGUCAAAGUGGACAUGUUACCUUGUAUUUUAUGAAUUGAUAUUUCUAUA